GGGUUACUACCAUAGGCCAGCGUACCCCAGCUUCCCUUUUGACCCUGAGGAGCAGAGCGUCCGGUUAAUCAUCUUCUUUGGGUCCUGGAACAUUUUAAAAUUAGAACUGUGGACCAAGACUGACAUUUCAAGGAUUAGCCUAGAAGAAUAGAAGGCACGUGUGAAGAAUGAAAAUGCUGCCAGUAAAGGACAGAAAAACAUGGGAGACAUGACACUGUGAGACUUCUGGGCCAUAAGAGGACUUCCAGUUCUUUUGGAGAGCCAGCAACCUGCAUGUAACUAAGACUGCUGAAUGAGGAGUGACCACAUGGAGAGAGAGGCACUUGGAGGAGAAGGGAGGUCCCUCAGCCAUCAAUGCCCCGAGCACGUGAGUGAGGCCAUCUUGCAUCUUCCAGCCCCAGUCGAUCUGCCUCAGAUAGUACCAUGUGAAGCAGAGAAAGUCCACAAGCAACCAGCUUUUCCUGAUUUCCCAGCAUCCAGUUCACCACAUUCUGAUGUUCAGUCUCCAGCGUCCUAAAGGUCAUGCACAAGCAGUAACAGAGUCCAGGGGCUGCGAGACCCUUCCUCUUCUUCCACCUGCCUUCAGCCUUCUGGGUAAGAGAAGAGGAAAAGGAAGGGGAUGAAAUCAGAAAUACAUUCAUGUACCCAUGUGUCUGCAACUUGGACAAGGAAACCUUGUGAGGACUCUGGAAAUGAUCACCUAAAUGACGUGUGGGAGGUUGUUCAUGGAUUUCAAUUUGCCAAGAGGUCUGGUUGUACAGAAUCAAGGUAUUACAGUGGCUGCUGGUGACUGGAAGCCUUGGGAGGCCUGUAAACUUUGUUUCAGGAAUAUAGAGCCUGUCCUUCUCAGGCUCACAGACUUCUCAGAGGCCUUCAUGUUGUCAAAGCACUGUGGUGGGAGCAUCUUGAAACCGCUGUGUCUCCAGGUCCCUAGGACCUAAUGGGAUAAAGAUCAAAGCUGAUGGUCAGACAUACCCAAGAGAACAGCUAAAAUUAAAAGAUUGACAAUACCAAGUGUUGGUGAGGAUGGGGGAAAACUGGAACCCUCAUACGUUACUGGUGGGAAUGUGAAAGGCUGGAACCCAUCGGGAAACCAGUCUGGCAGUAUGCAAAGUUCAUCAGACAUUUACCAUUUGCCCCAGUGAUUCUUCUCCUUAGGUAUUUACCAAA